GGUUCAAUGGUCUAGUAGCAUCAUUCCUGCUUAGGGUGCAGGAGGUCCCGGGGUUCAACUCUCGGCUGAGCCC